AUGGCAUGAUUGAAUUCAAGCCCUCCCAUCCGUCGCCACGGUUUGGAAUGGAAGACGAUGAUCGAGCGCACGCGGCCGGGACCGCGAGUCAAUCAGCAGAUGUUCUUGGACUAGGUUUAAGAUGAUCAAACAAAAUCUCGAAGCAAUAUAAAGGAAGUGCAAAAAGACAAAGAAGGUUGAUCUAGAGCUGCCAAUGAGAGAAUCCAAAAAUAAAAGGCUAUACAAGAUAGGUUUGGAAACACACCUGUCCACACAGUUGCAAUUGUUCUUGUAAGGAAAGAGCCAGUGUUGUCGGCGGCUUACACAAGCAGCAGCAGCAACAAGUCUCAGCAGAUCAGGUGAGCCAUUGCUUUAGCUUUUGUUGUCCUCUCCACUUCUCAGGUCACAGCAGUUAUGAAAGCGAGUGAUCUCACCGAUCUGUCGGAGGCUCAAUAGCUUGGAUUACAGUGGAGAGUACAGCACAAGAGUGAGCAGACACAAGUACCUAGCUGCCAUCUGGUGGUUGAUAUUAAGCUAAGUACAUCGCAAAGAAAGCUCAUGAUCAGAAAGCGCACUGGCUAUUCUCAGCUAUGGAUACCAGAACAGAUGUCACGAUGUCGAAAUCAGAAUUGAGAACUACGCGUCUACUAGUAGAAUGGAAGAAAGUUGUGAAUGAAGCUCAAGAGAGUUGUCUCACCAACUAAAGAGUCAAGACAUUACAUAGUUGGCCUUGAACUGAGGUAUUGCUGUAGAAAGGAUGAUGAACAUACCCUGAAAGAGGCUACCAUAAAAGGAAUAAAUUAAUCAGCAGCACAGCAUGUACAUAAAUGCAUCAAAUGUAAAGUAAAAUAUCUACCAAUACAGUUCAUAUGUGCCUUGUAAGCUAAGAAUACAAAAAAAAA